GUGUCAGCAGCCGCGGUAAUACGGAGGAUGCAAGCGUUAUCCGGAAUUAUUGGGCGUAAAGCGUCCGUAGGUGGUUAAUCAAGUCUAUUGUCAAAGCCUGGGGCUUAACCCUGGAGAGGCGGUGGAAACUGGUUAACUUGAGUGCGGUAGGGGCAGAGGGAAUUCCCAGUGUAGCGGUGAAAUGCGUAGAUAUUGGGAAGAACACCGGUGGCGAAAGCGCUCUGCUGGGCCUGCACUGACACUGAGGGACGAAAGCUAGGGGAGCGAAAGGGAUUAGAAACCCCGGUAGUCC
rnacentral:rRNA from 1 species